CGGAAACUGGGUCAGAGACUGCUGGGUGGGUGGUCUGCUUUGUCCAACUCCUGAGGAUCUUCCGUCCCAGAUGGUGAUAUUCAGCUUCUGCAAAGGGUUCCACUGACAGCUCUUCCACUGAACUGGGCAGAGAUAGAGAUUGGCCAAGCACAGCCUCCUGUGUCCAGGAAAGCCCCAAGUUCAGGAGGACUUUCUACUCUCAGCUCUUGUUAGGCUUUUACAUAAUAGGAAGUUGCUGG